UUAAAGAAAUAUGCAAAAGUAAGCUUCUAACUUAUUAUAAAAGCAGUGUAAUUCUGUUUGUAUUUCU
rnacentral:tRNA from 1 species